rnacentral:lncRNA from 1 species
CACAGCCCUACAAGCUAUUUGGCAUAUGAAGGUCCUGACCUGAGAAAACCAUCUUGGAUAACCACGCGAGGAGAGGGAAAAAUGCAACACCUAGGAGAUUUCAGUAAACAGUAGAAUCAUGCCAACCUAAUCUGUGUUAAAAUGCUUGGAAUGUGGGAGCCGCCGAGGAUGCCUGUUGUCUGUGUGUCUGACUGAAUCCUUUCUUUUCUCAGAGCAGCAAAGCCAAGCCUGGGAACCAGGCCAAAUGCCUGCCACUUACCUUAAAUUGAUCAGCCACUUUGAGAUUAAAAC